AGAGUUUGAUCAUGGCUCAGAUUGAACGCUGGCGGAAUGCUUUACACAUGCAAGUCGAACGGCAGCACGGGGGCAACCCUGGUGGCGAGUGGCGAACGGGUGAGUAAUACAUCGGAACGUGCCCAGUCGUGGGGGAUAACGUAGCGAAAGCUACGCUAAUACCGCAUACGAACUCUGGUUGAAAGCGGGGGAUCGCAAGACCUCGCGCGAUUGGAGCGGCCGAUGGCAGAUUAGGUAGUUGGUGGGGUAAAGGCCUACCAAGCCGACGAUCUGUAGCUGGUCUGAGAGGACGACCAGCCACACUGGGACUGAGACACGGCCCAGACUCCUACGGGAGGCAGCAGUGGGGAAUUUUGGACAAUGGGGGCAACCCUGAUCCAGCCAUUCCGCGUGAGUGAAGAAGGCCUUCGGGUUGUAAAGCUCUUUUGUCCGGAACGAAACGGUUAGCGUGAAUAUCGCUGACUACUGACGGUACCGGAAGAAUAAGCACCGGCUAACUACGUGCCAGCCGCCGCGGUAAUUC
rnacentral:rRNA from 1 species